rnacentral:rRNA from 1 species
GUGGGGAAUCUUGCGCAAUGGGCGAAAGCCUGACGCAGCCAUGCCGCGUGAAUGAUGAAGGUCUUAGGAUUGUAAAAUUCUUUCACCGGGGACGAUAAUGACGGUACCCGGAGAAGAAGCCCCGGCUAACUUCGUGCCAGCAGCCGCGGUAAUACGAAGGGGGCUAGCGUUGCUCGGAAUUACUGGGCGUAAAGGGCGCGUAGGCGGACAGUUUAGUCAGAGGUGAAAGCCCAGGGCUCAACCUUGGAAUUGCCUUUGAUACUGGCUGUCUUGAGUACGGGAGAGGUGAGUGGAACUCCGAGUGUAGAGGUGAAAUUCGUAGAUAUUCGGAAGAACACCAGUGGCGAAGGCGACAUACUGGUCCAUUACUGACGCUGAGGCUCGAAAGCGUGGGGAGCAAACAGGAUUAGAAACCCCAGUAGUCC